rnacentral:lncRNA from 13 species
GGAAAUCUGACUCCUGGACCAAGCUUGCCUUCUAAACAGGGAGAACCAUAAGUCACUAUGAAAGCUUUCUGGCCACCCUGCUGAAGAGAGGCCACAUAAAGAGGAGGAGAGGUCUACUGAUUCAGCAUUUUAGUUGAGCUUCCAGCAGACUC